CUGGAUUGGGAGCUCCCAAGGGCAUUAUCCUAACAUCCUCACAGAGGAAGAGGAGGCUCCAGGGCUGAAGUGCCAGGUCACCGAGCUCCACGACAUGCUGAUGAAGGAUGUGGGCAACUGCAUUAGUGCUGACAGCAGGUCAGCACUCAGGCUCGGCCCAGGACACCAACUAUACAGAUACCAUGAACCCAGAGCACCUGAGACUAUCCGGAUGGCGCUGCUGGGGGCACUGAGGUAUGGGAAGCUGCUGGUGUUUGACUUUCGAGAGGUGGACCUGUUUCCUGUGGUGAAGCGGCAGCUGGAGGCCGUGCAGCCAGGCCUGGCUCAGGCACUGCUGAGCCAUGGGCUCCUAGCACAAGAGCGGUACCUGUCACUGCUGCGGCCCACUGAUGGGGCAGAGUUAUGAUCCUGCCCAGUUCCAGGAGGCGCGCCUGGAGCAAUUCCGCCUCUUUUUUUGUCACCCAGGUGCAGUGGCUGCCAACUGAGCAACUCCAAGUCCUGCUCCCUGUGCAGCUGCCCAGCAGAGGUCUCUAGUGCUGCCCCCAAUAAAGCACACACUGCAUCCCUGACUGCACCAGUCCAGACCCUGACUACUAGAUAUUGGAUCCCAGGGCCUGGCAGGGGAACCCUGCUAGGGAAAGGCCAAAGAUUGGGAGCCAGCCUGGUGGAACCAAUGGAUGGACAGACAGGGUAAAACGUAGUCAACUUUAUUCUCCUUAAACCACAAAAUAGAGUCUUUGGUUGUACAAACAUCACUAGUUACAGUCUUGCCAAGAGAUCCUGGCUUGGGAGGGGGCGGGAGUUAGAGCCAGAACUCCUGAGGGGUCUCUUCAAAAUGCUAACACCCAGGUUAAAAGACUCGGGGCAAGGGCAGUAUUGGAGCUGGCAGCAACCCCACCCCAAGUCCGGGGAGGCACAGCUCCCUAGGAGGGCACAGGGCCCAGGCCGCGGCGCCCAGGCCGCAUGGCUCGGCGGCUGCUGCACAGCGUCACGUCUUCAGGGCCCAUGGCACCUGGUGAGGGCCUUCCCAGGAGCACCAGGGCCACCUCUCCAUCCUCUUCCUGUGGGCCUGGGGACAGGGCCAGGGCCAGGGACACCAUGAGUCCAGUAUGGCCAAGGAACUGUGGAGCUUACUUAACCCAGCUAGGUGCCAACUCACCAGGGCUGGGAGAUGGUUCCAAGGACCUCAGCUCCUCCACAAAGUCUGGCGACUGCAAUGGAGAGAAGGGCUGGUCAGGGCCAAUCCCAGACCUGCCUGAAACCACCCACAUGGACUUGGCUGGUUCUUGGGCUCUGAGGCUCACAGAACUGGGCUGAAAUGGCAGGCAGGUGGGAAAACCCCACACCAGAGGAACAGGGCACAGAAGCACACAGAAAGGGAGGGGACAGAAGGGUGGUACAGGAGCUGCAACCGGGCCCAUGCACAUGUUCAUGCAGAAGAAAGGCCUGGAGGCACCAGUACCUGGAUGUCAUAGACAGGCCUGGAAGAAGGGAGGGCGGCAAAUGCCCUGUAGUCAAACUUCUUUCCAGACAAAGGCUUGAAAGGACAGCGUGAGGGGAAAAGAGGCACACACAGUUCGAGGGAGAGGUGAGGACAGUGGGUGGGGGCAGUCUGGACCCCCUCCCCUGUGCCGGGGGGUGCAGG
ensembl:lncRNA